AAAAGUUCUACAUCAGGUCCUGAAAGCUGAAUCAGAGGAGUCUUUGCAUGAUCUUAUUUUGCAAAACAGCACAAUCUUCCAAACUGCUGGAUGCCUCAGAAACGUCAAGCCUUGUGAGAAACAAGCAUUUGUGGAGGAGUACCUCAGAUGGUACAUCCUUGAAAGAAACCAAAGUGUCAUUCAACGAUUUAAAGAUGGACUGGAAAGUCUGAAUUUUUUAAGUGCACUGCAACAACAUUCCAGUGUGCUGGCCCCACUCCUAUGCUUCUCUGCCAAGGCCCUGACUGCUUCAGAACUGGAGAGCAUGUUCAGACCAGAUCUCAGCCCAGCAGGAAGCAACAAGCGGCAUAAGGAGGUCCUAACACUUGGC